rnacentral:rRNA from 1 species
UACGGAGGGGGCUAGCGUUGUUCGGAAUUACUGGGCGUAAAGCGCACGUAGGCGGCUUUGUAAGUUAGAGGUGAAAGCCCGGAGCUCAACUCCGGAACUGCCUUUAAGACUGCAUCGCUUGAACGUCGGAGAGGUAAGUGGAAUUCCGAGUGUAGAGGUGAAAUGCGUAGAUAUCUGGAGGAAUACCGGUGGCGAAGGCGGCAUCCUGGACCGACAUUGACGCUGAGGAGCGAAAGCUAGGGGAGCAAACGGG